GGAUGAGAUUACAGUUUUUAGUUUUAAGAUUUUGAACAACUCUGCUGUGAAUGAAGAAUGAUACCUGAGAAAGGUAGUUUGACUUUUAUCACCCUAGUUUAUUAUUUUUAUUGUGUUCAUACAUGAAGUAAGAGUACAUCAUGAAAGGAAACAUUUGUUGUGAGCACUUAGUAAACCAAAUCUAUGAUCGAUGAAGUUUUCUUGCGCAUCAAUUAGGUGUCGAGGAUUAUUAUCUUUCAUAAACCUUGAGCAUUUGCAUCACUUCAUACACCCCUAAUGUAUAUUUUAAUCACAUAAAUAAGCAAAUACAGAUUUACUUCAUUGUUAAGGCAAUAUAAUUUCUGACCUUCCUCUGUGCGGUAUUGUGUGUGCAAAUAAAUUUAAAAAGUAAUAAUAUGAAGAAUUUUUAUUUUACUACUUAAGCUUUGACUUUUGACUGAUCACUUUCUGUACAUAAGAUGAGAUAAGAAGAACUUUAUUUAUCCCUGAGGGGGGAUUCGGCAUUAGAAAAAGCAGGAGACAUGACUAACACCACAUAUCAAUCUUUUCUUGGUAUGUGGCAGGCAGACAAACCUAUGACUAAGGAGAUGACACAGAUCUCAAUGAUCAAGACUCAAUUUAAUGUGCAUUGCAAUCCAUAUUAGCGCGACUCCAUUACACAGGAGUUCAGCAAGUAAGCGAUGCACACUGUUUGACUCAUGCUGACUCACUGAAACAGACAUUUCCAUUUCCUAAGAACAUAAUUACACAAAUCAUAAGACUGAUAUUUGAACACCUUCCCUCUCCUGUUGUUUUCCGAAUGGAGCUCUAUGUGUCACCAGUAGUGCGGUACUACUUAUUAAUAAGCAUUGUUGUGUCCUCCCUGCCGCUCUUGCCAGUCUCCACGAAGAUUGCUGGGGCUCAGUCGGGAGUGUGAUUGAGUUUGAUGAGAGUGAUGGAUUGCUGCUGCUCUGAUUGCCUUGACACCUCUAGUCAGGCUGUGAUUGUAUUUUUAGAGAAGUGAAAAAUAAUGUCUUUAUGUCAUGUCUGUUUCACUUUGUAUCAACUUCAUGUAACUGAGGAUAACAUUUUGGAAUAGCUUUCUUAGACUAACACACAGUAGAUACUGUAGGGUUUGUAUGUUACAAUAAGACUCAGUAAACAUGUACAUCAUUUUUAUGCCAUGUUAAAGUAAACCAUGUUUAUCUAAAAGUAAUAAUUGCAAUUACCAUUAUUGUAUAUCUUGUGAUUUUGAUACUAGUAAAAGUGAAGAACUCACCUCGGUAGCUUCCCUGAGUUUUUGGGUUACUGCCUUGAAUCGUCAGUUUAACCUCAGAAAGCAACUUUGGCCUUGUUCAGACUGCAAGCUUCCAGCGAGUCCAAAUAGAUUUCUGAGCGAAUCGAGGUUAUAACAAGAUGAAAUGUAAGUUUGCUCAUUUUGCUCCAGGAAGAUUUGAUGAUAGCUUGAACUAUGGGUCCAUUUCGAUACUGCCAUAACCCACAGCUUUGAGAAACUGAUUCGAUUUGCCUGCAGUCUGAACAAAACUCCAGUGUACGUGAAUCAGCAAGACUUGUUUUGCAUUGUACAUUGUUGGUUAAAAAAAACCUGUGAGAAAAAUACUUGUUUUUCAUUUUUUUCUUCUAAAUAAACUUAGUUCUACACA
rnacentral:lncRNA from 1 species